rnacentral:rRNA from 1 species
CUACGGGUUGCUCCAGUGGGGAAUUUUGCGCAAUGGGCGAAAGCCUGACGCAGCAAUACCGCGUGAGUGAAGAAGGCCUUUGGGUCGUAAAGCUCUUUUCUGAAGGAAGAUAGUGACGGUACUUCAGGAAUAAGCACCGGCUAACUCCGUGCCAGCAGCCGCGGUAAUACGGAGGGUGCAAGCGUUGUUCGGAUUUACUGGGCGUAAAGGGCGCGUAGGCGGCAUAGCAAGUUAAGGGUGAAAUCCCGGGGCUUAACUCCGGAACUGCUCUUAAAACUGCUAAGCUAGAGAUAGUCAGAGGCGGGUGGAAUUCCUAGUGUAGAGGUGAAAUUCGUAGAUAUUAGGAGGAACACCGGUGGCGAAGGCGGCCCGCUGGGGCUUAUCUGACGCUAAGGCGCGAAAGCGUGGGGAGCAAACGGGAUUAGAUACCCCAGUAGUC